AUGGAAAGAAACGAGCAAGAGAAGAGGAUAACAUGUUUAAUUAUUUUCCAUGCUCUUCUCUCUUCCUCAGAGCCAUUGUCGCCAUCGACAACGGAGAAGUCAAAGUAUAAACCAAAUAUCCAGAUCUCCGGCUCCACCUUCUUGGACGUUGGAGAUCGACUCAGGCUCGUGUGCAACGCCACCAUCAAGGACUACCCGCCUGAAGACAUCGAUUGGUUCAGGGCCGGCGACACUCUGUUCACGGACGAUGAGCGCGGCCUGUACAUUCAGAAGCAUGUCUCUCUGAGCACAGGUACCAUCCACAGCACGUUAGAGAUCCGGAAGGUCAAGAUCAGUGACGCAGGGGUCUACGUGUGUCGCACCAGCAACAAAGACGUCAUCGAUACUCGGGUCAACGUACUCAAAACAAGGAACAAACAAACGAAACGAGGUGAUGGGAUGGGCGUGUCAGAGAGAUCGACAACUGACGACGAUAACGCAGGAAGGUCCUGGCAUUCUUGUCUGCAUCUGGUUCUCUUCAGCAGCUUGAUCAGCUUGCUUCUGACGGGGCACAUUUUCUCCUCACUGGACCUAACGUGAAAGGCAGAAGCGCCAGCCACCUGCUCUCAUAUUCUUCUUUUUUUUAUUACAAUGCUACUACGUCAUGACUUCGUCCUCCAAGACACGUUGUACAGUAUCUCUUUCUGAAGUCGAAGACGGUGAUGAUCUUUUUACCUCAAAAUAAUCAUUGUGUUGUGAGAGUGACGUUUGUGUUCGAGAACAUUCCUAGUGCGUGAAUACGAGUCGAGCCCUCCCUGACGAGGGGGGAAAGUAGUCCAGUUCUGAGGUUGAUGAACUGUUUCUUUUUUUUUGUGGAGUCUUUUUCAAGGUGGUACUCUGAAGAUCGUUAGUUUGAACUAGAUCUUCAAUAUGCGCUUUGAUAUGAACAUUUUGUUAUGUCCAAUUCUAAGCCCGCACUGGAGAUGUAUGUGUGUUAGGACAAUGAAAAGAAUGGAUAGAGUGAUAGAAAUAGACACACAAAUGUUUUUAAAUUGUUCAAAUGAUUAAUAAUAUCAUAAUUGUGUCAAAUUAUAAAGUGAAGAAAAUGGCAUUUCGCCUUUGCGGUAAUUCUCAUAAUCUCAUGCCGUGGCCCAUCUUUGUGCGUGCACCAGAUCACUCGCUCUGUUAGUGAAACGGGUUUGUUUGUUCUUGUAGACAGAGAAAGAGAGAAAGUGAGAAAUGAUAACGUAUGAGUGUGUGUACGUGUCUGUGUGUGCGCGCUUGUGCGUAUGGGUGUGCAUGUUUGUUCGUUUUUUGGGGUUUUUUUCUUCUUUUUUUUUAGUUGUAUUGAUACGCGGGUGUUAUAUUGCAUUUAUUAUGUCUUUUGUUUUAAGUUUGUGCAAUGGCAAAAUAAAAGGAUUUUGCAAGAAUUGUCAAACGUAAUAAAAGUUAUGCGCAUACAGGAUACUACAGGGCCCUACAAUCAUGCAAUGCUUUUGACGAGGGGAAGGAAAUUGGACCGACAUUAUGAACAGGCCCACAAAAAGUGUAAGAAUUAUUUUACCCGUUUCAGAGUGUCACCAUGAUAUAACAUGUGAUUGUUUACAUGAUUGAGGCACUCGUAAUUCCCCCACAAUCUAGACAUAAAACUCUGAGUCUAGUCAAAAGUCCUGUAUGUCUUUGUUUCUAUAAAAAUCCUAUAUAUUUUCGUGAUUGAUUACUAACUUGACCACAUAAGAAGCACUAGGUUCAAAUAUGAAAAGUAUUGACUAUUUUGCACCUGGACCCAUGAGUCCACUUCGACUAAUUUUCAGAGAGGAGGGCACUGAAUCCUGUGUCUUCGACUACCUGGGGCUCAGAGCCCUUUUGACUUACACAAACAAAA